UACGUAGGGGGCUAGCGUUGUCCGGAAUCAUUGGGCGUAAAGGGCGCGUAGGCGGCUAGGUAGGUCCGCUGUGAAAACUCGAGGCUCAACCUCGAGAGGUCGGUGGAAACCAUCUAGCUAGAGUCCGGAAGAGGAGAAUGGAAUUCCUGGUGUAGCGGUGAAAUGCGCAGAUAUCAGGAAGAACACCCGUGGCGAAGGCGGUUCUCUGGGACGGUACUGACGCUGAGACGCGAAAGCGUGGGGAGCGAACAGG
rnacentral:rRNA from 1 species